UACGUAGGUCCCGAGCGUUGUCCGGAUUUACUGGGCGUAAAGCGAGCGCAGGUGGUUUAUUAAGUCUGGUGUAAAAGGCAGUGGCUCAACCAUUGUAUGCAUUGGAAACUGGUAGACUUGAGUGCAGGAGAGGAGAGUGGAAUUCCAUGUGUAGCGGUGAAAUGCGUAGAUAUAUGGAGGAACACCGGUGGCGAAAGCGGCUCUCUGGUCUGUAACUGACGCUGAGGUUCGAAAGCGUGGGUAGCAAACAGG
rnacentral:rRNA from 1 species